GAUAAAAGCAUUGUGUGAAUCAGUACAUCUGCAAAACCAUCUCUAUUGCUUGAUCCUGAGAAAGCUGUUGCAGGGUAAUUCAUUUCCUAAAUACGAUAAAUGGGACCUCAGGCAAACAGGCAGUGGUGGAAGUGUGGAUGAACAAAU